rnacentral:rRNA from 1 species
AGAGUUUGAUCAUGGCUCAGAACGAACGCUGGCGGCAGGCCUCAAACAUGCAAGUCUAGGGGGUGUAGCAAUACAUCACCGGCGCACGGGUGCGUAACGCGUAUGCAAUCUACCUUUUACAGAGGGAUAGCCCAGAGAAAUUUGGAUUAAUACCUCAUAGUAUUAUUGAAUGGCAUCAUUUAAUAAUUAAAGUCACAACGGUAAAAGAUGAGCAUGCGUCCCAUUAGCUUGUUGGUAAGGUAACGGCUUACCAAGGCAACGAUGGGUAGGGGUCCUGAGAGGGAGAUCCCCCACACUGGUACUGAGACACGGACCAGACUCCUACGGGAGGCAGCAGUGAGGAAUAUUGGUCAAUGGGCGCAAGCCUGAACCAGCCAUGCCGCGUGCAGGAUGACGGUCCUAUGGAUUGUAAACUGCUUUUGUACAGGAAGAAACAGUUCUACGUGUAGAACCUUGACGGUACUGUAAGAAUAAGGAUCGGCUAACUCCGUGCCAGCAGCCGCGGUAAUACGGAGGAUCCAAGCGUUAUCCGGAAUCAUUGGGUUUAAAGGGUCCGUAGGCGGUUUUGUAAGUCAGUGGUGAAAGCCCAUCGCUCAACGGUGGAACGGCCAUUGAUACUGCAAGACUUGAAUUAUUGGGAAGUAACUAGAAUAUGUAGUGUAGCGGUGAAAUGCUUAGAGAUUACAUGGAAUACCAAUUGCGAAGGCAGGUUACUACCAAUAUAUUGACGCUGAUGGACGAAAGCGUGGGGAGCGAACAGGAUUAGAUACCCUAGUAGUCC